rnacentral:lncRNA from 1 species
UGAGGAGCGUACUUAGCGAUCAGUAGAGCCAUCGUCCCGUUGUUCGGUUUUAACUCUUUAACUCUGUUUCCUUCAUAAAUAACUUAGACAAUUUUUAUGGUUCAGUAUUUUCUUUGCAUUUAAUAAUUGGGAUUUUAUAAAUGUAAUAAAGGAUGUGCGAUUCUUGCAAACUGGAAUUGGUUUUCUACCUCUCGUGGUAGCGAGUUUUAGAAAGGAAAAGGUUUCUGUGUGGAAAAUAGCUUUUAAAAGGUUUUCUUGGUUUUCAUGACUUUGUGUUUUAAAACAAGUUUCCGGAUAGGAAACAUUUUAAACUGAUAUAUGUGGUUUUAUGGAUUCUUUUUAAUUGAAAUAAAUGUGAAUGUGAAUGGUGUAUAAUAUGUGGAUGUUCAUAUGUGUGGUUGUAUUUGGUAUUGUGAAUCUUGUAUCUUGUACUUGUGCAAUGCCGUGCAAAUACAGGGGAGAGUCUGUCCGUGUGAACAGUAGAAUCCCUUUAUUUGUGGCGGAUCUAGCAUAUCCUGGGGGUCAGGUUUUUCAGAGAAAAAAAUAAAAAAAAUUUCGGGUACUUCCGCAUUGACUUUUAACAAAAGGGGACCCCGGGGCGUGACAGAUUAAAGUGAUAUCAGAGCCAAGUUACAACCACAGCACCAUUUACAGGUUGUUUUGAAAAAAAUAAAUGAAACUGAAUCAUUGGUUAGGUUGACCCACAGAAAGACCUACGGUGUAUAGUCACGUGAGUGCGGGGUUGGAUUUGAGUCACGGUAAAUAGAGUUGAGUCUGUUUAUUCCAAAUUUGACUCUAACCCUAUUUGUUUCAGCACAUGGUACGCAGCAGAGAGAGACGACGUGCUAAUGUCGAGGCUUCUGCUGUUAUGCACGGCCUCCGACGGUUGGAGGAGCAGUUCGCCACAUUGGCUGGUUUAGUCCAACAGGUGGUGCAGUAGUAGGCUGCAGCUGGAGUGGUUCAGGCUCCGCCGUCGGGCACGGACGCAGGUAUUGCUGCGAGUUACUGUGAGCGUCUCUACAAAGACGACACUAGGAACAGCUACGGUCAUGACUUUAGUGGAGCUACUAGGGUGUAGCCCAAGGUUUUGUUAGCAGCAAUCUAGGCGACCGCAACGUUGGUGUUACCUUCUCAGAUCUUUGGGUAAGGUUAUGAUGCCUACCUCUCCUUCUUGAUUGCUGAUGAAAUCGGCGGUGUGGGUCUUUUGACCUUUAACUAGUUCUUUCGUCAAACUGACGUGUACUAGAAUCAGAUAAACACAGUUUUGUUGUCAGGUUCUAUUGGUGCAUACAUCGUAUGCGGUCAUUCUAACACCUAAAUUGGCGUGUUGUGUGUUAGUUUGUUGUUUGUGGUAGGAUUCAUCUAGACUCGAGAUACUCAAGGGUAUUGUCGAAAUUCUCGGAGCUUUGGGUAUAGUGCGAUUGUGGGGCAGAAAUCGGUUGGUGAAAUCGUUUCCUAAAGCCUCAGUUUGUGCGGUUUGCGGCUUAGUGUCGCUAACAGCUUUUGGAUGUUGAAAGCUAUGAGACUCCCAAUGAGUCGAUUCAUGGUCGAUCUGAUUUCGAAUGUCGACCUGCAAAGUCGACCUUUCGACGGUUGUGUUGUGAACUUUUGGUUUAGUAAAGAGGUAUUAGGUGGCUUGAUACUUCGAUGUGUCGUGCUUCCAACUUGUUGUUGGUAGUGAAUUUUCGGGUAUUUUGCUUUUCUUUUGAUAAGUACAUUGGCUGCAGACAAUGUACUAUCGAAAGUUAGGACAAAAUACCCUUUUCCCGUUUGGGACUUUUGGAUUGGGUUGGUGUUUUCUCUAGAUCGUAUUGUUGGGGAGCUUGAGUGAUAGUCAUCUUUGACGACAUAGCGAGCCAUAGGUUAUUCCAUGGCAGGUCUUGCGCAGUUGAUUUAUCAUCACUGCAGAUGGUUUGAACUCUGGUUUGAGUCUGGGUACUUUUUAGCUCUAUAAUUGUGCCUUGCACAACCAAAAGGUUUGUUUUGGUUGGUAGUCUCGGCCUUUUGCCGGGAGGUUCAGAAUCACGGUUGAUGAGUGGUUGAGCCUGGUUGUUGGCUUUGAUUGUCACGAUAUGUGAUAGCGUAUAAGGUUGUGUCUCGACUUAUCGUGCAAACCUUGGAAUGGUUUGCUUGUCCGGUCUUUUAGUGAUAGGUGCACCUGGGUCUCAAUGAGACAGGUGUUUGGUGUUGUUCGGAAUAUCGAUUGCUAGAGUCCUUUGUAAGACGGCAGCGACAGGGUCUCAUAGAGACAGGUGUUGGGCAUCACCGAUGGUUAAUAUCGCAUAUUGCGAUUGGCAACCCUGUGCAUCAAGUAAUGGACUUGCAAGGGGCAUAUGGUGGUCUGUUGAUACUAGAUUAUGUUUUGAGACAAAAUUGUCGAGCUCAAUUGGCAAUGUCAGCCUUGGAUCUUAUGGCCAGGCAGAAAGUGAGGUCUUGAACCUAGGAGUGUUGAAUACCGUAGGUGGGUUUUCGAUACUAAGGGUUUGACGUUGGCUCUUUAUACAUCUGACCGGUUUGAGACUACGGUCUCCGAGGUGAAUGCCUUUGACUCCGGAUUUAGGACAACGAUACGUAUUCCCUCAUGGUGAGCUGGUUGACGUUGUUGGCUAGUCAGAGUAUGUCGUUUCGACCUUUGGAAUUAUACUUCAGACUUGUGGUGUUGUCCCGUGACUUUUUUACGUGAACUUUUGACGUAGUUGAGUCGGCUACUGCUACGCGGACCAAGGUUGAGUCGACCUAGAGUUUCUGAGUUGUGAUUUAUUAUCUCAGAAUUGGCAAAUUUGGGAUUGAAUAAUCCUGGUUGCGGAACUGUUUUGUCCGUAAGUUAUAGGAUGGUGUUGAUUCCGGUGGAUCUUGGUCCAUAGAUUUUGGGUUGGUAUGUUUUUCCUUGUCUUGUCCGAGUAGAACCGCAGUUCUAUUCUCCCUUUUUUUCGGAGGUUGAUCUGUCCAAAUUCAAGGAAAUGUAACUGAUCAGUACUCAAAGGUGAUACCGCUGUGGUGAAGUGAUAUCCGAAUACGAUUGUGGUGGGUACGUGGUUAAGUUUCGGGGACGAAACUUCCUAAAAGGGGAAGAUAAUGUAAGGACUGAUAUUUUGCAAUGUAGCUAAACUCUUUGUGGACGAUAUUUUUGUGUGUAAUUUAAUUACAUAAGCACUCGUCAAGUUUCAGCAGAAAAUGAGUUAAAAUGGAGAAGUAGUAUUUCAUACAGUAGCAGUGUAGCUUAGCAGUGUAGAUUUUGCAAUGUAGCUUAUUUUUUAUUGGGUACUUUUGGACUUGUCAUCUGGUUGAUGCAUACAUAUAGUAGCAGUAGUAUUUCAUAUAUACAUCUCGUUUUAUUUGUCGAUCUUGACUACUGUAUUACUAUUAUCUAUACUUAUUGUUAUCCUUCGUGACUAGUGAGUACCCUCGCCCUCGUCGGCUUGCAGUACCCACUCGGAGGGGAGACAUGUUUACAUGUUCUCACCUCCCACCCCCAUUACAGGUGAUGUUGCGGGUCCUAGUGGGACGGAUCGUGAGGAACGUACUUAGCGAUCAGUAGAACCACCGUUGUUUGGUUUUAACUCUUUAACUCUAUUUCCUUCAUAACUAACUUAGACAGCUUUUAUGGUUUAGUAUUUCCUUUGCAUUGAAUAAUUGGGAUUUUCUGAAUGUAAUAAAGGAUGUGCGAUUUCUUGCAAACUGGAAUUGGUUUUCUACCCCUCGUGGUAGCGAGUUUUAAAAAGGAAAAGAUUUUCGUGUGGGAAACAACUUUUAAAAGAUUUUCUUGGUUUUCAUGACUUUGUGUUUUAAAACGCGUUUCCGGAUAGAAAAUAUUUUAAACUGAUAGAUGUGGUUUUAUGGAUACUUGUUAAUUGAAAUAAAUGUGAAUGUGAAUGGUGUAUGAAUAUAUGGAUGUUCAGAUGUGUGGUUGUAUUUGGUAUUGUGAAUCUUGUAUCUUGUACAUGUGCGUCGCCGUGCAAAUAAAGGGGAGACUUUGUCCAUGUGAACAAUAGAAUACUUGUAUUUGUGGCGGAUCUGGCAUACCCUGGGGAUCAGAUUUUUUAGAGAAAAAAAAAAAUUUAGGCACUUCCGCAUUGACUUUUAACAAAAAGGGACCCCGGGGCGUGACAGGUACUCUGCUUCCCAGAACUCAAACCUGAGAGCACCCCUCUCGGUCGCGUGACAGGGUUCCGGUACCUCACUGUGGCACCGGUACAUAACACCCCAAAACCUGCAGUUUGUAGAUUUUGGUGCUAAGUACUCUCUCUUGCUUCUCAAGACGCGAGUAAUAGGUUGAAACACAGUUCACGGCCCUCGACACACCCAGAAUAGUGUCAAAUACUAUUCGAACACUAGAACCUUGCUAUUUGCUGAAGGUCAGUGUGCUACAUAUGUACCACUUUAUUAGGGCUUGUCACAAUCUAUCCUGACAUGUGUCAUCAAGCAUACAUUAUUUGGAGAAAGAAUGAUAAUAUAUCUCGCUCUUUAUGAUGUACCCUAAUAUGUGUCAUCAGGCAUACACUACUCAUCCUCACUAGGUUACUCCCAGUUGAGAUAUCUCCCCUUUCACUAAUAUUCUUGGCAGCUAGGACAUCUCCCUUUUCACUACACUCCCAACCGAGAUACUUUAUCUUGUUUUCGCAGUCUCACCCAUAUCCUAUCCUAGUCUCGAUUCACUUCAUAGACUAAGACCUUGGUAUCAUCAUCUCAUCUAAAGUGAACAGUGAUUGUACCCGAGGUAUCCAUAUUCCCGAGCAUGCGUCUGGUAUUAUUUAAUAUUCAGGCCACAUUCCUAGUAUUCACAUAGUUAUUGGGCCAAUUGCCCGGUAUUCACAAAAUCAUCGGGCUACUUGCUGAGUAACUAUCACACAUAUAACUAUAUCUAUUGUGCAAGAGGCUACAAUAGUAACCAAUCUAUAACAUGAUGCUAAUAUGUCUGAACAAAUAGCAAGAAAUAUGCUCAACAUUAAAUAAAUGCAGGUUAUGCAUGUUCUUUAGUUCUUUGCACUUUACACUUUGUUCUUUACCUAACUCAGGCAUAAUAGAGAGGAUAAGUAAGAUAUAGUAACCAAUCUAUAAUAUGAUGCUAAUAUGCCUGAACAAAUAGCAAGAAAUAUGCUCAACAUUAAAUAAAGCAAAAGGGGCUUCAUCUUCUUCCUCUCUAGGGCAAGAAAGGAGAGCUUACAAGGUAAGCUUUGAACCCUAAUCUUGAUAGAAUCCUAAAAUGGGUUUGAAUGACCUAGAAAUGAGUUUUAGUGAAAUGUUUAAAGAGUUUUGAAGCUUUCUUUUGCUUCUUUAGAGAUCAAAUCCAUGGUUGUUUCGCCACUUUAACUUGCUUCACAUUAAGUCCAUCAUCGCAGGAACUCACCAGCUAGGACCGUCCUUACGGGUCUACUCCAACCCGGAUGCAUGCCGAAAAAUCGGCUAAGUCCUGGAAGGAUAGCUCUCGGGAACCGGUCCCUGUCCGAGAGACCGGUCCCCGAGAGACCGGUCCCCCUAGGAGAGAACGGAUGCAUCGCGCGCAGCAGCUCUGGCUGCGCUGGGAGAGCUCUCGGAGACCGGUCCCUAGUCGGGGAGACCGGAUUUCCACAGAGCCGGGACCGAGCGAGCCGGCGAGCGACCGAGGUAAAGGUAUCGCGCCUUAGUCAGAGGCCACCACAGUUGGGUUCAUUUUGUAGUAAAGUACCUUAUGAUCAUCUUUUGUAUUUGAUGAUUAGUAAUGUAAAGAAGAGAAUGUAAAUCUUAUUUUGAGAUAAAUGUGAUGUAAGAAAGACAUGAUGAAAUGAUGUAAUGAAUGUAAGAAUUCGAUAAAUUCUUGGGAGAGCUCUCGGAGACCGGUCCCUAGUCGGCCGGUCCCCGAGCCCGAAAUCUGCCCAGUCCAGGCUGUGUCAAGGAGUAAAAGGUGAGGGGUUUAUUAGCAAUUUUGCAACCCAAGGGUUAUGUUGGGGUUGAGUCAUAUCCUUAACUCAAAGGAUUUAUAAGUUCAAUCUUGACUUUACACUAGCUCUAGUGUUCAUGACAUCACUUUAUGUUGCAAACUCAUGCAAUCGUUAUUCUUUACUUUUCUUUUACUUUUGCUAACUCUAGCAAUUAUAUUCUUUACAUUUCUCGUUCUUAUUGCCCCACUUUACUUUAACUUUACACAUUGUCAUUUUCAUCAUUCUUUACCUCACUUCGGUUCUUUGGCUCACACUAACUCUAGUGUCACUUUACUUUACGUUUUCAAAUGCCAAGUGUCACUUUACUUUACGUUUUCAAAUGCCACUCGAUCUAUGUCAUUGUGCCACUCUGUUCUUUUGCUCACUUUGGGUGCUCACAUUUUCUCUCAUCAUACAUCUAGGGUUUUGACGUUAUUAGGUUCUCAACCAUCUCAUUAUGCAAGUUGUGCUCACAAUCAUGCAAUCAUCACAUUUCAUCAUUACUUUACCCUAAAAUGCAUGCAACAAUAUAUAAAACAUAUGCUCAAAGAAUGACACAUUAGGCAUAGAGAGAAUUUCAAUGAGUUUGGAAAGCACCACCCACCUCGUAGGCUUCUUUAGGUGCUCCGACGAUUUUCUCGGGAUUUUUAGACGUUUCUUUCUUUACCUGCGACAAAACGAACCCUUAUUAGGCCAUUUUGCCCAUAACUUUACUUUGACUUUUCGUAACGUUAAUCCGAGCGCACCAACGCGUCGGAAAUGUGAAGAAGAAGAUCAAAGAGCAAAAGGGGCUUCAUCUUCUUCCUCUCUAGGGCAAGAAAGGAGAGCUUACAAGGUAAGCUUUGAACCCUAAUCUUGAUAGAAUCCUAAAAUGGGUUUGAAUGACCUAGAAAUGGGUUUUAAUGAAAUGAUUAAAGAGUUUUGAAGCUUUCUUUUGCUUCUAAAGAGAUCAAAACCUUGGUUUGCUAUAGAGGUGAGCUUGGACCACCGAUAAUGGUGAAAUCUAAUCUAGGGUUUUGGAAAGUCUAAGAAUGGUUCUAGUGGACUAAUUAGAGUGUAGUGAAGCUACUUUUGCUUCCCAAAGAGAUCAAACCCUAGGUUUUGAUAUACAUNNNNNNNNNNNNNNNNNNNNNNNNNUAUAUAUAUAUAUAUAUAUAUUGUCACGCCCCGGGCGCUAUUUGGAAAGCUAAAACUAUCCAAUUUGAAAACAGAGUUGCGAAAAGCAUAUAAAUUUUUUUUUUUCUAAACCUUGCCCAAGACGUGCACAGGCCCGCCGCACGCAUAGGGCAUCCUCUGUCCAUGUCGGCAGAGUUUCUCCUUUACAUGCACGACGUAGGAGCACAGAUAUAGAACCACAAUCAACAGAACAAGAUAAUUUAAUUAUACAACUACCAAUCAACCCAAUACCAAAAUCUAGAAUCGACUAAACCACAGCAAUAAAAGCCCAAGUACAAUAACUAACUCAAUACCACAUAACUGAAUAAACAAACCUCUAGAUGAAAUAAAUACAUAGUAACUCAAGAGUGAAUCCAAAAAUAAGGUCAAUAGCACGAACUAUCUAGGCGCUAACUAACCGCGUCCUCACACCGCACCCCGACCCGCACUGUCAGCGACACCUGUAAAAACAGUAGGAUGAGAAACAUAUAAAUAUGUUUCCCAGUGGGGGCAACCAACCGAUGAGGACAAGCCGCACUCACUAGCAAACAAAGGAGUACGGUAAGCAUGGUAACUAUAACGAGUAAUCAACCAUAGUAGCAAAUAGGUUAGGCAAAUAGAUAUCAUGAACUGAAUACAAGAAUAGUGCCGCUACUGUAACAUGAAUCAAAUAUUGAAACGAAGAAUACAAGCCAACCACUGUAGCAAAGAAAACUAGCGAGUAGUCAUCACAAACAAUCAUGUACGAGGUACCGCUACUCUAAACAAGUUAUACGGUAACACAAAGGAUCCAACUACAGUAGCAAGAUGAAGAAUGUACAGUAAUAUGACCCACUCAUGAAGGAAGCUGCUACCGUAAGCUAAACAACUACUAGAUACCAUGCAUGACUCAAAGCGAGAUACUAUGCAUCAACUAGACAUACGAGUAGUCCAAGGUUUAUUCAAUCCCUGUGGCCUGUUACAAAGACUUGGCCUAAGCUCGCUUAUAGGUCUCAAGGACAGCAAAUCAAGUACCACUCCGGAGGGACACAUCAACCCGCACCCAGAGUCGCUAACCCGCAUGCAUGUGGAUAAUGCUAAGUAAUGGUAUGAUAAGCAUGAUGUAGAAAUAAUAAAUGCAAGCAUGUGGCUAAUACUAAGAUAUACUUGAUGAUCAUGUUGUAGAGAUACUAAUGUUAAGAAAUGAAAAUGUGCAUAUGGACAAUCUAUAUACAUUAGAUCAAGUGGUAUUAAACCUAGAGUCAUGGGCAUAGGUUGAACAUGGAGGAUAUGAACCUAGUGUCAAAGAACAAAGGUUGAACAAGUAUAGUGUGAACCUAGUGUUAUGAACCUAGCAAACACUUGUGGCAUUUGAGCAUAUAUAUUUGUAUCAUUCAUACAUAAUAGGACUAAGUACAUGUGAAUCUUGGUUGCUUUCAAUGACAUGUUUCUAACGUAGUUGAACAUAGAGAAAGGUAGAACCAUAAUGGACAUGUAUGUUAGGACCCUAUUAUUGUGUGAAUGUGAGAGUUGGACUUGGACAUAGUAAACAAAGGUGACAUUGACAAUAGAGACAUUGAUUGGCAUAGAGAACAUAGUUGUUAAACAUAGUUUAACCAAGAGUGGCAUUGGACCAAGAUGACAUAGGGAGUGGCAUGAUUAAAUAGGUAGAAAACCUAUUAUGACAAUGGCAUUGUGACAAGUGGCUAUGAAUCCUCAAGUUGAGGAUUGGAUCGAUACUCACGAUAAGUCUUGGCUUGAGGGAGGUAGCUCCCCCUCGGGCGGUGCGCUCCGGAGUUGGUCACCACUGGGCGUGGUAAAGUCCCCCCAGAAGACGGUCCCUAGGGAGGUUCGAGUCCCCCGCUAUUAAGGGAUUUUGGGUUGUGAGUUAUUGGGGUUAACAUGGUUAACCGGUAAGAUUGGGUCAAAGCCAAGUGAAUGUACAGCAUUAUGUGUUACGGGUUUGGUAUCCCAGUUGAGAGGAUUUAGGGCUGAGGUGUAUGUGAGACGUCCAUCACCUCGAGCCUAGUUUUGGUGCGGUAUUCCGCAGUUGAUUGACUCGAGACCGAGUCGGGUGGUUAGCUUGGCUAGGGUAGAGGAAAACCUUAGGAGCAAAUAACCAAUGAUGUAAAGUGAUAAGAUGUAUAAAUUAUGAAAAAGCUAUGGAUAGCAUGAUACAAAGUAAAAUCAUUUAUUCUACUUGUAUAGUUGCAUGAUUCGCAUAUAGCAUGGCAUUAUUGCAUUCGUGAGGCAAAGCAUGGUUUUAUUAGUUGCAUAAUAAAGAUAUAUAUCUAUCUGUUUAUUGAACUAACUUGCAGUUGCCUCCCUUGGACCUAUUGGUCGAGCUUUUCCCUUGGGUGGCCGUACCCACUGGGAACCAUGGAGUUGGUUCUCACCCCACGUGGUUUUGGGGUGUUACAGGUUCGCACGUGAGCGGCGCGGCGGCGCGAGGCGAGGGCGUAGCUCCAUAGUUAGCGCCCUACCACCGAGACUAGAGAUAGCGGUACCCUGAGUCGGCCUUACUUAGGGAUGUAAAGAAUGAAAAGAAUCAAGUUGUAAUAAUAUUGUUAAAUUGGAUUGUAUUUGGAAGUUAAGUGAAAGCUAAUGUUGAAAUCUAAUGAGAUUUGUGAUGUAAAAAUGGAUGAAUAUGAAUGCAUGUAAUAACAUAGGAUGUGUUAUGUUGUUUGAUACCUUCCAUUAUGCAAUCCUUGAUUGAAAUGUGUUCCUGGUUGGAACUUCGCACAUUGUAUUGAUUGCUAUGCCUUGAACGUACAGGGGAGACUCUGUCCGCAGUACAGGGGAAACCCUGUCCGUUCGGCGAUCUGUCGGCGGCGCCGCGACCCGGCCAAAUAGGCGGGCGGUCGCGGGGCGUGACAAUUU